UUCUUAGAAGCUUGCAGUAGCACUAGCCUUUUAAGCUAGACAAGUACACUUCAGUACCUAAGAAU
rnacentral:tRNA from 1 species